rnacentral:rRNA from 1 species
GACGAACGCUGGCGGCGUGCUUAACACAUGCAAGUCGAACGAUGAACCAGGGCUUGCCCUGGGAAUUAGUGGCGAACGGGUGAGUAACACGUGGGCAACCUGCCCCUGACACCGGGAUAACCAUUCGAAAGGAUGGCUAAUACCGGAUACGACCACUCCAGGCAUCUGGCGGUGGUGGAAAGGAUUCUGGUCAGGGACGGGCCCGCGGCCUAUCAGCUAGUUGGUGGGGUAACGGCCUACCAAGGCGACGACGGGUAACCGGCCUGAGAGGGCGACCGGUCACACUAGGACUGAGACACGGCCCAGACUCCUACGGGAGGCAGCUGUGGGGAAUAUUGCGCAAGGGGCGAAAGCCUGACGCAGCGACGCCGCGUGAGGGACGACGGUCUUCGGAUUGUAAACCUCUUUCAGCAGGGAUGAAGCCGCAAGGUGACAGUACCUGCAGACGAAGCACCGGCUAACUACGUGCCAGCAGCCGCGGUAA